rnacentral:rRNA from 1 species
CCUACGGGUGGCAGCAGUGAGGAAUAUUGGUCAAUGGUCGGGAGACUGAACCAGCCAAGCCGCGUGAGGGAUGAAGGUACAGAGUAUCGUAAACCUCUUUUGUCAGGGAACAAAGGCGGGGACGUGUCCCCGGAUGAGUGUACCUGAAGAAAAAGCAUCGGCUAACUCCGUGCCAGCAGCCGCGGUAAUACGGAGGAUGCGAGCGUUAUCCGGAUUUAUUGGGUGUAACGGGUGCGCGGGGGGUCUGUGAAGUUAGCGGUCAAAGCCCGGGGCGAAACCCCGGCCCGCUGUUGACACUGGCAGUCUGGAGUGGGAGAGAAGUAUGCGGAAUGCGCGGUGUAGCGGUGAAAUGCAUAGAUAUCGCGCAGAACUCCGAUUGCGAAGGCAGCAUGCCGGCUCCACACUGACGCUGAGGCACGAAAGCGUGGGUAUCGAACAGGAUUAGAUACCCGAGUAGUC